UUCCAUUUUGAGCUACUGUUGUGAUUGGUUGAUCUGUUUUGAGGGAUGUUCGCAGCACUCAUAAGCUGUUGCUGAGCUUGGGAAAAUUGCUGCAUUUGAAGUUCUCUAAGUGUUGCGAAUGAGCUGCUACCUUGUUGUUAUAUUUGUUAUCAUAAACUGCUGGAUUAUUGGCCAUUUGCACCUCGUUUUGGGAGUGGUCUGCUGCUGAAUUUUUGGCCAUAUUUUCCUCGCAUUUUGCGGUUUUGCUGCUGCAUUUUUUGCCCCACGAAAUGUUGAUUUGUUGCUGUAAUUCUGAGCUAAAGUUUCUGCCGAAUGUCGGGCAAAUUUGAGCCAUUUUGUUGCUGCAUACUAAUGCAAAUUGCUACUGUAGUUGUUGCCAUUUUUAGGUACGCCACCGGUUCAAGCGUCAGAUCACGGUAGUAACCCAACCAUCCCUGAAUUAUCUCCCAUUACACCUGAUCUGAGCAGCCCAGUAGAUGAGGGUACAUCAAACCAUAGCAACACUGUCCGCGAAGAAGAGUCCAGUAGUCGUCGUAGGCAGCGGACACUUACACUUGUUACUCUUACUCCUGCAGGGUUGGAACCUUCUAAAGAAUGCUCUAAUACCGCAUCUUUCAAAAAUCAACUUGAUCCCAAUGGAAUCAAUUGGAAAGGUGUCUCGAAGAUACUAGAAAUUUUUAUUUUGGGGAAUUCAAGGACUACACCUGCGGAACCAAAUCGGACGGCGGUGGAUAGGACACAAGAAGCAUGUCAACCAACCACAACAGCUUCAUGAACCUAAACUAAAGUGAGAUGUCUGUCUUAGAUCCCUUUACUGCCUUACAUGAUUGGCUUGUAAUGACAUAGCAAUAGCAGGUCUUUUGCUUCUUACUGGAAACAUGAGGCAUUAUGUAGUUGUGGAAUCAUUUUUCUAUUUGAUAUAGAGGCAAAACAUAUACCUAUCGGAAAAAAAGAAGAUAUAGAGGCAUCGCAUAUAGGACUAGGUGUAAGCUUUGAAUGGCGGUGAUUUAAUGGUCUUAAGUACUGAAGUUUUUGAUCUUUCACAUUUGGUGUUCUAAACUGCUGGCGUGACAGCAUAUAGACUAGUUUUUAUUUUAUUAAUUUGCUGAACUUAAUCUCUUUUGUUAUGGUGUAAACAGUCUUGUCAUAUAAGUUGCCCAUUGAGGAAAGAUUCAAAGAUUUCGCAAAAUUAUUGAUCCAGAGAGUAAAUAAUGGUUCACAUUUUGCAAUAGCCCAUAUCCAGCCUUUAACUUUAUCACUUUUGAAGGCAUAGAAUAACUCGAAUCAACUCGAAGUGUAAAGCAUGUUGCUAUAUGUUCUAUUGCUCUUCAAAUAAAUUAGAUCUUAGCAAC